rfam:Lachnospiraceae bacterium 28-4 genomic scaffold acPFn-supercont1.3, whole genome shotgun sequence.
UCUGGCGGCGAUGCGCCCGGGGGGAACACGCGUACCCACCCCGAACACGAGAGUUAAGGCCCGGGCGGCCGAUGGUACUGUGCCUUGGCAUGGGAGAGCAGGAGGCUGCCAGAU